rnacentral:tRNA from 1 species
UCUUUGGUCUUAAGAAUGCUGGUUUUAAGAAUGAGCAUGGCAAGUCUUUGUGAAAUAACUCCGAUGAGAAGAA